rnacentral:rRNA from 1 species
GACGAACGCUGGCGGCGUGCCUAACACAUGCAAGUCGAGCGAUCUGGCACUCAAUUUCUUUUGAAAUUGAGUGCCAGAUAGCGGCGGACGGGUGAGUAACGCGUGAGGAACCUGCCUUCUACUAGGGGAUAGCCUCGGGAAACUGGGAUUAAUACCCUAUGACACCUUUAAAUCGCAUGAUUUGAAGGUUAAAGCGUUUUAGCGGUAGAAGAUGGCCUCGCGUCCCAUUAGCUAGUUGGUGAGGUAACGGCUCACCAAGGCUACGAUGGGUAGCCGGCCUGAGAGGGUGACCGGCCACACUGGAACUGAGACACGGUCCAGACUCCUACGGGAGGCAGCAGUGGGGAAUAUUGCACAAUGGGCGAAAGCCUGAUGCAGCGACGCCGCGUGAGCGAAGAAGGCCUUCGGGUCGUAAAGCUCUGUCCUAUGGGAAGAUAAUGACGGUACCAUAGGAGGAAGCCCCGGCUAACUACGUGCCAGCAGCCGCGGUAAUACGUAGGGGGCGAGCGUUGUCCGGAAUGACUGGGCGUAAAGGGUGCGUAGGCGGCCAGGUAAGUCAGAUGUGAAAGGCAUAGGCUCAACCUAUGUAAGCAUUUGAAACUGUCUGGCUUGAGUCGAGGAGAGGAAAGUGGAAUUCCUGGUGUAGCGGUGAAAUGCGUAGAUAUCAGGAGGAAUACCAGUGGCGAAGGCGACUUUCUGGACUUGGACUGACGCUGAGGCACGAAAGCGUGGGGAGCAAACAGGAUUAGAUACCCUGGUAGUCCAUGCUGUAAACGAUGAGUGCUAGGUGUCGGGGAGUAAUCUUCGGUGCCGGAGUUAACACAAUAAGCACUCCGCCUGGGGAGUACGGUCGCAAGACUGA